AAAGUAUCUGUGCUCUCCUUCUUGAGGAGAGUUUUGUGUCAGAUAACGACAAUGAAUAGCAAAAGUCUGUCUUUGACAGGAAUACAUAUACUGACCUUCAAUUAAGCUGCAGGUUAAGACAAUACUGAAAAAUCAAUAGCUCAUUUUCUGUCUUUUGUGCCCAGAUUUUGAUGUUUGCUAAGAUAAAGGAUGACAACGCUAAAAGCAGGAAUCUUUGCGGAACAUCCAUUGAUGUUGCCGUGGGCUCAAGGGCCAGGUCUACUGUAAGCCUUUAGAAAUAAUCCAAGAAACAGAGUCAAGACAGAACUAAAAUGUACAAUAGGAGAAACAUCACAAGAAGAUGCAUAGGAAGAAUUGUGAUGUGAUUUGAGCAAGACAAGGAUCUCCCCUGGCCUAUCAACUGCCCCAAGAUGGAGCUGCAUGCAUUCCAUCUGCUCCUCUGCAUGGAGCAUGACUUCUCCUCACCUUUGCAGCCACCCUUUCCUGAAGAGCCUCUUUUUAAUUUUUCCCAAGUUCAAUUUGUGCAGUGGGUGAGAAUCUGCUACAGCUCCAAGGCAUGACACAGAGCAAGGACUAUAUACAGAAAGUAACCUUAAAAAGUAAAAUCCAUCCUCAUUCACUGUCCUUAUAAGUAAGACUUUAUAUUUUGAGAACUCUUAUACUCUUCUUUUUGCAAAUUCAUAGGUUAAAUAAAUGAGCUGGCCAUGAUGAUCUUACCAGUGUAGUGAUUUUUUAUUUUGUUGCAUUGAAAAAACCUAUGACACACCUUAAUGAAACAUGAGAGGUGAGGAAAGAAUUUUAUCAGUUGUCUAAAGGAUAGGAUGGUAUCAUUUAAAAUCACAUUUGUUUACAAUCUAGAAGGGAAACUGCAAUUGUCACUGUAUCUGACAGAAACUCUUUGGUGUUUUGCAGAAAACUAUUGUGAUAAUAUUAAAAGUUCAUAUAAAUUUCUCAAAUUCAUAUGAGCAUUUCUCUUUAAAGUCUGUCAUGGCCUGAAAAUUAUGCAUAAAACCAACAAUGGCUGACAGGAUUAGCAGAGUCAAGUGAAGAAAAAGUCUUUUAAUGUGCUAUAUGGAUAGACUUGAUAGUGUUCCCCAACAUUUCCCUCUUGACCAAGUCUAUAAUCCUCUUCCAAAAUUUGGCUUGAGUGGAAUGCAAGGAGCUUCAACUCUUCAUCUGUUAUCCUCAGGGAAAGGGUUUUUUUCCUGUUUCAUUGUUUCCUUCAAAAUAAAGAUGAAAUGGGAAAUGGGGAGGAGAAAGAGGCUAAAAGAUUUCAAAGGUCAAACAAAUAAAGUCAAGGAUUCUUGUGAUAAGUAUUUUGAAGUUAACCAGGAAGUUGAUUUGUCACCUGUAAUGAUUUCCCUGACAUUUUGAUAAGCUUUUCACUUACGUGUUAAGUGAAUAAAUUCUGGCUUAUUUCAUAAAAUUCUGUAUGUUUGUAGUCUGAACAUAUUUUGAACAGUGCUACUAAUGACUGCUUUUCUGUUAGCCUUCAAGCAGGCAGCCAAAAGCAUGUACUUUAAAAAAAAAAAAAAAAAAGAGUUAAAAUUGACAUUUAAAACAUUUGACUAUAAUAUCUUUCUAACAAUCUGUAUUAGAUAGUGUAUAAUCUAUGUUUUAUCACAGAAUUUUUAACUUUCAUGCCAAAUGAAAUAGACAUAUAUUUCAUUGCUAAAUAGCAUCAGUCAGAACUGCUUCAGGCCAUAGUGGUUUCUGAGUAGGACAGAAGCUAGAAAAAAAAAACAAAACACUGUAGUUUUGAGAUCAUUUUGAAACACAAUCUUGCUUAAGGCUUUUAUUAAAGCAGAUUACCCUACUGCCUACUGUGAACAAAGAGACCUAUUCUUAUACUACUUUGUACAAUUUAAGUGAGAUAUAUUUACAGAACUUCCAGUCUUACUCUGGUAUAUUGAUUUCUGCUGAAUGGAAUGACCUUACUACAAAGUAUAUUCUUCGUUAAUGGAACCUUCUUGAACCUUUAUUAUUUUCUGAUUGAAAUAUGCAUCUUGAGUUAUCUAUUGAUCACAUCUUAAAGUAUAUAUAAUUUAUCCAUUCAUUCUGUUCAAAUUUCUCAAUAUUAAUUACAUAACAUCCAAAAUAAAUUUUAAUUAAACUUUUUCAGUAUCUUUUUAUUCAAUUUACUAAUGCUUGUAUUUGCAGUUGGAGAAAGAUGUUGUGUACACAAACUGAAAUCCAGUUGGAUAACCUGAACUGCAUCAUGGUGGCCAAGAUCCAUAAAAUAUGGACUGUAUUUCCAUUAUUGUAUUGAGCUCUUUAAUUUUGAAUCUGGACUUUUUUCCUUUGCUAGGAAAACUUGAAAUUAACAGAUGACACAAAUAAUUUUAUUCCAGAAAAUCCAGCACUCUCAAACAUGAAAGGCUGGAGUGAAGCAUCCACUACAAAUAGCCUGUUUUCCUGGUUACCUUAGAUUUUUGUGAUUUAUUUAUUUAUUUGUUUGUUUGUUUAUUUAUUUAUUGUAUCUCAGAUUAUCUGAGAAGAAUCUAGGAUUUCUAGAAAGAUGCAGAUUUUCUGCUUUUAGUUUACUCUGGUGUUUUUUUUUUUACCUUUAUUUUCCAAUAGCUGAUUAUUUAAUCUCUCUGAAGUUUUGUUUUGGAAAAGAAAAAUGUAUGCUGAGUUGUACGGUGACAACCUGGUGAAGAUAACACAUUAUUCUUACAUAAAUUAACCUUUAAGUAUUUCUUAAUAUGCUUAGUCUCAUGUUGGGGGGAAAAAAAAAAAGUUAUUUUACUAAACCUGUUGAUGUUUGUUCUCUUAAAUCGAGCUUAAUUACCACAUAAAUUUUUUAGCUAAUGAAGAAACUAUUGCCACUUAUCUGUGUACAUUACUCUCUCUUGCCAAUUAACGUCCUGACUCUGGGGCUGUAGUUAAGCAAGGGCAUUUUGCAGGGUCAUCCCCUCACAUCGCACCAAGGUUUUCUGCCCAGGUAUAUUUUUGCCAAAAACACACAGCAACAUUGUUAAACAAAAGCUAAUUAUCAGAGGUGAAUGACGUGUUAACAACAGCACACCAUGUGCUGAAGUCGUCAUUUAGCAGAAGGAAAACAGAUAGACUUCCAGUGAUUAUGAAAAUACCAAGUCAUCAUUAUUAUAUACUCUCAGAGUACCAUAAAUUCUUAGAUUUCAGUGCAAAUACUUGAGAGAAAAGUUAGGAACUUAUUUGACAGUGGUUCCUGUAAACCUCAAUGUAAACAUUUCAGUCAAUAAAAAUCUAUGCAUGAUUAAAUAAUGCAGUUACAACUUAAGGAAAGGCAAAUGGAUUUUCUUUUUUCGUUUCUAUUCUUUUCCUUUUUCCUCCUUUCCCUGCUUUUUUUUUUU